ensembl:lncRNA
CCUACGCUUCUCGUUCCAUUUUUAUUUCACUAUCUGUAACUAAGACAAAUAAACAGUAUUUGGCACACAAGUCACUAUUAAAGUGGUUUGUGAGACUCCACAUCUGAUAACAGUAUAACACACUGCUUAUUUAUGUAAAAUUGUCAUCAAUAAAUGUGUUCAAAACAGAAGCUACACUGGCUUUAAAAGUUUUUGUUAACUCUGACUACCUGUCUGCUCUUACCUGUUUCUUUUGCUCUCUGCUGUCUUCAUCCUCCAUCCAACUCUACAUUGUAUUGUUAGGGAUGACAUGAUGAAACUGAAGGGUGUCUGGGCACCGAAAAAAGAAAAGAAGAGAGAUUGGAUUAGGCUGCAGCUGGCGUGCCAUUCUCUCACUUCAGGAUGAGAUGCUGUGUCUUCUUACGUUAAUCUUGUAAAACAGGAUGUAGGCUGAGUGCUGCUGUUCCUCACAAGCUGCAGAUCCAGUUGUGUGCAGCACCUGUGCGUCAUUAUAGGUGGGCCAAGGAUCUGAUGUAGAGUGUGGACUCUCCUCGGGACGGACAGAAUUACAGAUGCAGCAGCUGCUUCCGAUGUAUGGAAACCUGACACACAAACAAAAGUUUACAGUAUCAGUGUAAAAUAAUUCAUUUUGUCCAGGUUGAGAAGGUGAGAUUUGGUCCUUGUGCACCACGUGUACUCACCUGAAGCCGUCUGUAGUCUGAAUUUUAUUUUCCAUUAUUUAUCCACCGCCCAAAUGUUUCACUGCGCUACUGCAAAAAGAUAAAAACACAAACACACAAUUAGACACUGAGCACUGGAUGUGCAUGCAUGCAUGAGCUUUGAAGUUUAAACUUUUUUUUAUCAUCAACAAUUUUUAUUUAUUUCAUUUUAAACUUCAAUAACAGAGCUUAAGGAUAACUACAUAAAUAAAUAGUUUAAAAAACAAACAAACAAAAACAAAACACAACAACAAAAAAAACAAAACAAAGGGAAGUUAUCCUAUUCUUUCUUCGCACACCAAUUCCCACACCACCACUCUGUCAUUACUCCUCUGUUCUUCAAGUUACAGAAAGCCAGCUUGUAAAGGGGGACCAAAUACAAUCAUAUUGAUGCAAUUUGUCUAAUAAACCAUAAGUCACUUUUUCGUAAGACGCCAACUUAGCCAUUGUCUUUAGCCACUCUUCAUAGGGAGGGGGGGUUCUUUUUCCGCCAAUGUCUUAGCAGGACCCGUUUGGCCGUAGUAAGAGCCAAAAUAAUCCAUCUUUUUGUAUAACUGGAAAAAUCUACAGGGAGUGCAGAAUUAUUAGGCAAGUUGUAUUUCUGAGGAAUAAUUUUAUUAUUGAACAACAACCAUGUUCUCAAUGAACCCAAAAAACUCAUUAAUAUCAAAGCUGAAUGUUUUUGGAAGUAGUUUUUGUUUUUAGUUUGAGCUAUUUUAGGGGGAUAUCUGUGUGUGCAGGUGACUAUUACUGUGCAUAAUUAUUAGGCAACUUAACAAAAAACAAAUAUAUACCCAUUUCAAUUAUUUAUUUUUACCAGUGAAACCAAUAUAACAUCUCCACAUUCACAAAUAUACAUUUCUGACAUUCAAAAACAAAACAACAACAAAUCAGCGAC